rnacentral:tRNA from 1 species
GCCGCUGUGUUGGAAUUGGCAGACGAGGUGGACUCAAAAUCCAUUCCCGGCAACGGGGUGCGGGUUCAAGUCCCGCCAGCGGCACCA